rnacentral:rRNA from 1 species
GACGAACGCUGGCGGCGUGCUUAACACAUGCAAGUCGAACGGAAAGGCCCCUUUCGGGGGGUACUCGAGUGGCGAACGGGUGAGUAACACGUGAGUAACCUGCCCUUGACUUUGUGAUAACUUCAGGAAACUGGGGCUAAUACCUGAUAGGAGCUCCUGCAGCAUGGUGGGGGUCGGAAAGUUUCGGCGGUUAGGGAUGGGUUGGCGGCGUAUCAGCUUGUUGGUGGGGGGGUGGCUGACCAAGGGUUUGUCGGGUAGCCGGCCUGUGAGGGUGACCGGCCACAUUGGGUCUGAGAGACGGCCCAGGCUGCGACGGUUGGCAGAUGGGGGGAAUAUUGCACAAGGGGUGGAAGCCUGAUGCAGAAAGGCCGUGGGCGGGAGGACGGCCUUCGGGUUGGAGACCGCUUUCGCUCAUGACGAAGCUUUGUGUGACGGUAGUGGGUAAAGAAGCACCGGCUAACUACGUG